UACGGGGGGGGGCAAGCGUUGUUCGGAAUUACUGGGCGUAAAGGGCCAGUAGGCGGCCAACUAAGUCCGACGUGAAAUCCCCAGGCUUAACCUGGGAACUGCGUCGGAUACUGGAUGGCUUGAAUUCGGGAGAGGGAUGCAGAAUUCCAGGUGUAGCGGUGAAAUGCGUAGAUAUCUGGAGGAAUACCGGUGGCGAAGGCGGAUCUCUGGGCCAUUACUGACGCUGAGGAGCGAAAGCGUGGGGAGCGAACAGG
rnacentral:rRNA from 1 species